rnacentral:ncRNA from 1 species
AUGGUGGAUUCUGAAAAACCUAUAAAACAGAGUAGGAA